UUGCCGAUGAUCCGGGUUUGGCCGGAGCA
rnacentral:sRNA from 1 species